rfam:Rattus norvegicus chromosome 3, whole genome shotgun sequence.
GGGGAUUUAGCUCAGUGGUAGAGCGCUUGCCUAGCAAGCACAAUGCCCUGGGUUCAGUCCCCAGCUCCG